GGCUGGGAUUAUAAAUCUUUCCCACAUCACAUCCUAAACUCUCCACUUUUUCCAUCAUCCUGCACCAAUACAUUUUCUUUGGAAACUGUAGUUUUCCUCUAAUUCCCCCCUGUUAGGUUUGUCCCAGGGCCCUCAUAAAGAAAUGACCCCAGCCACAAGCAUGGGAAAAAGCGUCACCCAACUGACAGGCACAGACUACAUUGCAAACUUAAAGUAAAACUGGAUUGCAUCGGCCUUUGCAGAUUCAACAGAAAGUAACUUUAGAUUCACACAUGCAGAUUCAAUAUAUCUGCAUAUAGGACCAGCGGGAAGGAGCAUACAUGCCUAUGCAGUGGGUGGAAAUGUAUAACUCUUCUUUUCCCUUUCAGCAUUGCUUCCCUGGAUUAGAAUCCCUUUUCUGAGCGCUGGGACCACAUGCAUGUCCAGGUGACUUACAGACGGUCAACAGACCUGAUGAUCAGCUGCCAGCAAACAAGAGGAUGAGUACCAUCACCAGAGGGAUGACCUGAACAGCUGAAAAAAUCAGACCAGAUGCCAGUAAUUCAGGCAGGCUCCUGUAGGAGCUCUUCUCAUAAAACCCAGAAAGGUUCUCACUUCCUGAGAUCCACGUUGGCCCACCUGAUAAUAGUCAUGAGACAUAGCACUGCCUCUUUGAAGCAUUUCCCAACUUGCCCUAAAUUCUCCUCCCUCCCUCCCUGUCAGGUGGGUGGCUAAUUAUUUACCUCUGUUUUUACCUUUUACCAUUUUUUAGACAGGUUAGUUCAGGGACAAAAAGAAGGGAUGGGGCAGAUCCAAAGAAAAUCUAAAUCUGUGCCACAACUGUGAUCCAAAACAGCUCUGCUCAGUGGCUGCUUGAACUCAUAAGGCAACUUCCUUUUUGAUGGGAAGAUCCUUUGGACACCUGCAGUUUUGUUGUGGGGAUGCCCAGAACUGUCCCUGUCUUAAAAACUUGGCUUUCAUCUCCCACCACAGACCCAUUAAGCACUGCACAAGCCCCCUACACACUUCCAUCCAGUAAGUAUGCUUCCAGCACGCCUAACCAGAUGACAGCAUUUGUAGGCAUCUGUCUGUCCCGUGAGACAAUGUAAUUACCCCGGGUGACACAUCAGCUCGCUGAAUGUGAAGCUGGAGUGACCUUUCCAGGGUGCAAAAGCCUGGGCAGUGUAUAUGGAGACACCGAGCUGCUGACACACCGGUGUCCCUCACUCGGCCUUGCUGGUUUAGUCCAAAGGAAAGGCAGGUGCCGGUACAUCCAGAACCAGCUUGGCUGCAGGAGCUGCCGGAGCAAAGGAGAUCAUCCAUUUGUCCGUCUAUCAGGAUUUUACUCCUAGACUGGCUGCCGACCAGGGUUAAAGAGCUGUCAUUUUAUUUCAACUAAUGUCAUCACAGCUACAGCAUAACUCUUACACUACCAACUUACGUAAUGUCAUGUAUAGAAAUCUCUGGUGGAAAAA